rnacentral:rRNA from 1 species
CGGCCCACCUAGCCUACGACGGGUACGGGCCCUGAGAGGGGGAGCCCGGAGAUGGGCACUGAGACAAGGGUCUAGGCCCCAAGGGGCGCAGCAGGCGCGAAGAUUCCGCAAUGCCCGAAAGGGCGACGGAGUGAACCCGAGUGCCACCCGCUGAGGGUGGCUGUUCCCCUGUGUAAAAAGCAGGGGGCAGGAAGGGGAGGGCAAGGCUGGUGGCAGCCGCCGCGGUAAAGCCAGCUCCCCGAGGGGUUCCCACGCAUACUGGGCCUAAAGCGUCCGUAGCCGGCCCUGUAAGUCUGCAGUUAAAUCCGCCUGUAGACAGGCGGGUUGCUGCAGAUACUGCAGGGCUAGGGAGCGGGAGGAGCCGGGGGUAUUCCCGGGGGAGCGGUAAAAUGCGUAGAUCCCGGGAGGACCACCAGUGGCGAAGGCGCCCGGCUUGAACGCGUCCGACGGUGAGGGACGAAAGCUGGGGGAGCAAACCGGAUUAGAUACCCGGGUAGUCCCAGCCGUAAACGAUGCCGGCUAGGUGCUGGCCAAGGUUUCGGCCUUGGCCAGUGUCGAAGCGAAGGCAUUAAGCCGGCCGCCUGAGGAGUACGGCCGCAAGGCUGAAACUUGAAGGAAUUGACGGGGGGGCACCACAAGGGGUGAAUGCCUGCGGCUUAAUUGGACUCAACGCCGGGAAUCUUACCGGGGGCGACAGCAGGAUGAAGGUCAGGUUGAAGACCUUACCAGACGCGCUGAGGGGUGGUGCAUGGCCGUCGCCAGCUCGUGCCGUGAGGUGUCCUGUUAAGUCAGGCAACGAGCGAGACCCCCGCCCCUAGUUGCCAGCGGCCUCCUUCGGGAGGGACCGGGCAAACUAGGGGGACCGCCCCCGAAGAGGAGGAGGAAGGUGGGGGCUACGGCAGGUCAGUAUGCCCCUAAUCCCCCGGGCCGCACGCGGGCUGCAAUGGGCGGGACAGCGGGAUGCGACCCCGAGAGGGGGAGCUAAUCCCUCAAACCCGCUCGUAGUUGGGAUCGAGGGCUGCAACUCGCCCUCGUGAACCCGGAAUCCCUAGUAACCGCGGUUCUCCAUACCGCGGUGAAUACGUCCCUGCCCCUUGUACACACCGCCCGUCAACUCACCCGAGUGGAGCUGGGGCAAGGUUCCAGCUCCAAAAGAGCUGGAAUCGAGCCUUGGCUCCGCGAGGGGGGGUAAGUCGUAACAAGGUAGC